UGAUGGCAGUGAUGAUUUUUACAGUUAUUCAUCACCUGAUAACGUAAAUAUGAGGGUGUUCAGUCACUACCGCAUCUGAUGCCAUCA
rnacentral:snoRNA from 11 species